UACGAAGGAUCCGAGCGUUGUCCGGAAUUAUUGGGCGUAAAGGGCUCGUAGGCGGUUUGUCACGUCGGGAGUGAAAACUCAGGGCUCAACCCUGAGCGUGCUUCCGAUACGGGCAGACUAGAGGUAUGCAGGGGAGAACGGAAUUCCUGGUGUAGCGGUGGAAUGCGCAGAUAUCAGGAGGAACACCGGUGGCGAAGGCGGUUCUCUGGGCAUUACCUGACGCUGAGGAGCGAAAGCAUGGGGAGCGAACAGG
rnacentral:rRNA from 1 species